GAUGGAUGAACCUGCAUCAUGCCCAGUAUGUCAUUUGACUGAAGUGUGAUCACAGUAAUAAUUCUCUACUGCUGAACCCUUAGAAAUAUUUAUCUAUUAAGCAGAUACAUUUCUGGCAGCAGAAC